rnacentral:lncRNA from 1 species
GGGCUACAAGGAGGUCGAUCUGCCGAUCUUUCUCUAGUUGGCUCUAAAUUUUUAGGGGCAGGAUGAGAUUCACUAUUCUGCUGCAUCCCUCUCACCGCAGUCGAUAGUGCUUGCACCUGCUGGAUGAGGCUAUUGUAUUUGAUCUUGAGAGAUCAUCAAUACUGCUGGUGGGGGUUCUCCUAAAUCGAUGACGAUGGUGCAUUGGUUAGCGAGACAUUGUUGGCCUACCUACCAUUGGAGCAUUGUGACGUAUUAGAUGCACCCCUUCAGAUCCUCAUGGAUGUUGGUGGUGAGCUUUCUCCUUUCGAAAUAGGAUCUCAAAACUAGUCA